rnacentral:tRNA from 1 species
GCGCCCGUAGCUCAGUGGUUAGAGCGCCUUAGUCAUCCAGUGCGUUUGACAGCCACGGGCGGAGCAUCCCUUUGUGGGUGCUCCGUUUUUUACGUCAUGCGUUGCGCUAUCAUAGAGCUGGCAGUCGUUUGUGCUGGCUACUUUUCGUUCAGGGGGACCGAAGGUGCGGGUUCAAAUCCCGCCAGGCGCU